rnacentral:rRNA from 1 species
UACGAAGGGGGCUAGCGUUGCUCGGAAUCACUGGGCGUAAAGCGCACGUAGGCGGCUUUUUAAGUCGGUGGUGAAAUCCUGGAGCUCAACUCCAGAACUGCCUCCGAUACUGAAAGGCUCGAGUCCGGGAGAGGUGAGUGGAACUGCGAGUGUAGAGGUGAGAUUCGUAGAUAUUCGCAAGAACACCAGUGGCGAAGGCGGCUCACUGGCCCGGUACUGACGCUGAGGUGCGAAAGCCAGGGGAGCGAACGGG